rnacentral:rRNA from 1 species
UGAACCUACAGAAGGAUCAUUA